rnacentral:tRNA from 1 species
GGUCUAAUAGUGUAGAGGUUAGCACAUGGGAUUUUGAUUCGGCGGCCCUUUGAUGUAUAAUUCCCACAACCCAGGUUCGAGUCCUGGUUAGACCU